CUUCCGCCGGCGACCGGCGCACGGGUGAGUAACACGUAUGCAACCUGCCCCUGUCAGGGGGACAACCCGCCGAAAGGCGGGCUAAACCCGCGUACAUGCCACCGGGGCAUCCCGGAGGCAGGAAAGGCUUCGGCCGGACAGGGAUGGGCAUGCGGCGCAUUAGCUAGACGGCGGGGUGACGGCCCACCGUGGCGACGAUGCGUAGGGGUUCUGAGAGGAAGGCCCCCCACACUGGGACUGAGACACGGCCCAGACUCCUACGGAAGGCAGCAG
rnacentral:rRNA from 1 species